rnacentral:rRNA from 1 species
UACAGAGGGUGCGAGCGUUAAUCGGAUUUACUGGGCGUAAAGCGUGCGUAGGCGGCUUUUUAAGUCGGAUGUGAAAUCCCUGAGCUUAACUUAGGAAUUGCAUUCGAUACUGGGAAGCUAGAGUAUGGGAGAGGAUGGUAGAAUUCCAGGUGUAGCGGUGAAAUGCGUAGAGAUCUGGACGAAUACUGAUGGCGAAGGCAGCCAUCUGGCCUAAUACUGACGCUGAGGUACGAAAGCAUGGGGAGCAAACAGGAUUAGAAACCCUUGUAGUCC